AAAAAUUGUGGCAUCAGAAUCUGCCGGCCUCCUCCUCCCCCCCAUCUCUCGCUCCCCCUCUCUCUGGCUCGGCUCAUGGCAUGGCGGCGGCGGCCAUCUCCCGUCCCCUCGCCGGCCGCGGGAGUCAGCGGCUUCCCGCCCCCGGUUUGAGCGGCGGCCCCUUCCUUAUCCACCAUCACGCCGCCACUCAGCAGCGACUGGGAGGCCUCCACCUUGAGCUCACGCCGGCCCUGCUGCCGGUCGGCGGUGGCCGACCUCGACCUGCGCGGAAGGGAGACGGCCCGGGGACAGUCCAGGGUGCGUGGGCGAGGGGAUGAGGCGCUGCGGACGACAGCGCGGUCGUGCCAUCCCCACCCUCCCGUCGACUGCCGGCGGCGCCCGUGUCCGCUGUGCGUGCUCCCGUCCCCCGCUGCCGAGGGACGCGUCUUCCUUGCUCCGGCGUGGGCUGUUGUAAGGGUCCCCAGGCAUGGACGAAUCCUCGCGGUCGAGCGCGCCGACAGCUCAACAAUUUCACCAUCGUCCGUCCGAGUACUUGGUGAUACUACUGUGUAAUGUGGCUUAGGUCACCAAAGAUUAGUGGCAGACUAGAUCUAUGGUAAUUAAGAAAACAUUAAAGGGCUUGAAUAUUUGACAAGGUAUUUUGGAGACCUUUAUCUGAAGAAAGAAUGAAGGGGUAGUAAUAGCCUGCUCUUUCCAGCUAUCCAAGGAUAGGAUUGAGCUACAAUUUGUAACGAGUUAUCUUGGUAAGUAUUGUGUAGUUAGACUCAUUUGUAUUAUAUAUAGAUAAGAGUGCUAUGAGUUUGCCAUUAGUGUAAAGACCAGAGGUGGCCUGCCUUUUCUAGCUAUCCCACUGACAUAUCAUGUACGUUGUGCUGAAAUGCAGAUAGAUAAUUUGUAUGCCCUGCCCUACUGAUCUAAAAAAAUACCUGAUUUUAUACUAAAUUAUCUAAGGUGCAUAUUGCAUUGUUAGGAAGCUAUGUUGUAUCCUUCUUGGCUGUUGUAAAGUUGAUUAUGCACAUUUUAUGUUACAAAAAAAAAAAGAUUAUGCAGAUUUUGCCACCAUCAGGUUAAUGCUAUAUGCAGUUUAUAUCCAUGUCCUAUUUUAAACAUUCCUGAUCAUUUUAUACAUGUAAUACUUACACACUUCAAGAAAGAAAAAAACCUGUUAAGUACUGAUUUUUCACUGAAUCGGUGACUGCCCUCGUGUGGUGGAUUCAUCAUUGCACCACAAUUGUUCUGAAAGUGAGGUUCUCAAGUGCCUACACAUUGGAUUAUUAUGUGUACAAGAAAAUCCAGGUGAUAGACCCGGCAUGUCCAAUGUGAUCCUGAUGCUUGUUGGAAGGGUCUGGUUCAUGCAACAUCAGUGCCCUUUGGGUUUUCCUUCCACCAGGGAUGGUUGUGAAUCAGCAGAAAUUCCACACCCUCAAGGUCAACCGAUGCAUCUAGAAUACAUAUAUGAAGCAUAUAUAUUAAUAUUUUAAUCAACUCGGCACCUGAAGCUAUUCUCUUUAUUUCUGCAUCUAUCUUGAGCUAACUUGGAUAUGGUACAUUGUCUUUUUUGCUAUCUGAACCUCACAACAGAACGUUAUCUCACUAUUAUGAUGGAUGCCAUAUUUGUUACAUUAGCCUAUGAAAUGUUCAGAAUGUGUCCGCAUAUUGGGGUGGGGGUGGGAUAUACAUAUUGUGUCCGCAUAUGAUACGUUGUUUUCUAGUUGAAUAACAUAUGUUUCGUUUUUUUUACAUAAACUCAUAACUAUGGUAUACAUCCCUAAAAUAUAUAAGCAUGAAAGUUCUUGUAUUAUUGCCAGUUGUACAGUAAAUACCCUUUUUGUUAUCUGCUAUGUGGUUGGCACAAUAUAGCCUUAAUAUUAUUCCCCUUGGGUGUCUAAACGAGGGCAACCAAUUAAUAAAUACCUACGGUCUGUUAGAGACGCAGGUUGCCAUAUUUCACAAAAAUAAAACAUAAUUUCAUUGUUGCCUAUUCUGCUGUGAACUGCACAAUCAGAUUUUGACAUGCACAUGUUAAUUGCAUGGUAUGUUCAUGAAUAUUGAGUGAUCAUGUCAGGUGUGAUGAUCAUGUAAUGCUCAUGAGAAUGUUAGUCCUCAUGUAGUGAACUUGCUUAUCUGCUUUAAAAACUCCCUCUGAACUGCUCUAUGUUCUCAUAUAUGAGCUUAUUUCUUUGCCCCUGUAAUGUUCUUUGUUGAUUCCUGUCAUGUUGUGUUCAUGUAUGGGUUUUCUUAUUUCCAGUCAGUUUCCUGUAUAUAUUGCUGGAGCUGUUCAUCCCAUUUAACAGUUUUCUUGCUAGAGUUGUUCUAAAAUUGGUAUGGUGUUUAUUGUUCCUUUCUAUUUUGCUGAAGUAGUUAAUAUGCACAGAUCAGUUCAAAUGAUAGCAAAAAGCACAGCUCAAUUCAUUCCCUUCCGUAGUGCGCAGCACAAUACAUCUCAUUCAUGCCAAUUUCCUUACAAGCACACAACACAGCCCUGUUCAAUUUCAUACAAGAAAAGCACUGGAAAUUAACAUUAAACCCAUUACGGGUCGCGCAAAUGGCGCAUUCUCGCUCGUUCCACGUCAUCGCAGGUAGGACAAAAGAAACACAUUGGUGAUUGGGUGUGAGAGGAAAAAGGAAAUCAGGGGGUCACACCAGAAUCGAUUUCUUUUCUCUUCCUCCACACGCAGCCUUCUCCCCUCUCCUCUCCCCCAAAACCGCCCGCCGCCGCCGCUGCCGCCCGCGAUUCAACCUGCCCAGCUCCGCCCGCAACUCAGCCCGUCCUUCUCUGCCCGCAUCUCCAUGCUGCUGGUUCCGCUACACGCCACCGUCUCCACUCUGCUUUGCCCAUGGCGGCUACCAUGUCUGCUCCUGUGACGUGCCGAUAUGGCGACACCGUGGCCGGGUGUGAUCUGGAGAACCUGCGGACGGUGGUGCACGGUCUGGGCGGCGGCUACCUGCGCGGUUCCAGUGCUGCACCGGCACCUCGUUCAUCCAUCGCACAGAUCCAAGGCGGGCGACGCGGAGAUGGUCGAUGGGGAGAUGCUCUGCUUGAGUUAGCCAAGGCGUCGGGGACGAAAUCUGGACCGGUGGGUGUGCCUUCUCUGCCCCUUCUCCUCCCCGUUGCUCUACUUUUCCCCCUGAUUCAUUUAUUCCUUUUUUUCUCUUUGUGAUUUGACUAAGCCGUCUGCUUGAGUGCUCCAGUUUUUAUCUGUAGGUGGUAAUCUUGCUGCAAGUUCCAGGCUGGGUUCCUUUCUCUCCAGGGAAGUUGCCUCCCGGGGUCGAGAGGAGGCAGAGGAGACCUUGGGGAAAUCGAGCAUCUUGGCAGAGCGAUGCCCCCAUCCCAUUCCCCUUUCUUUCUCAGUGUGCUUCUCCAUGGACAACAUCGCCACGGACAGAUCGACGAUUCAAGCCCUAGAAGAUGCUAAAUCGUGACAGCAGCUGACCAAAUUAGUCGGCGUAUUUUGAUGUUAGCAUGCCCCCUGAAGGACUGCAGGAUACCAGUAUAUGAUUUUCCUUGUCUAAGCUAAUGCUGCUUGAUCUUUCCCCUGUUUACACUUUAACAUCUUUCCUUUGUAUUUAUUUCCUAGACUUUGGUGUCAAACAUGGUCUACACUGACGAUGAUGUUACACUUGUUGAUGUUCCAUGCUCUUUGUUACAAGAGGUAAAAGAUAGGAAUCAACAAAAAAACGACAUUUUGGCUUACUACUAUAUUUCCAUGGCAUAUGCCCGAUGUCAGGCCUCUUAUUAAGUGCUUCCGACUUACUUUAUUGUAUUUUAGUUGCUCGUGAUUCUGCCUUGUCCUAGAUAGCAAACAAUGGAAAUUAUACGAAUUUUGAGAUUUAGUUCAUGUUCAUCACUUUCCUAUCCUUGGUACAACAUUACAUGAAAUGAUACUCAGUUGCCGUGUGUAAAAAAGUUCAUUUCAAAUUUGAGAAAAAUUAAGGGGUAUCUCACGACGAAUGAUUGCUUUAUGAUCCUUGUAUUUCUCGUGAUUUAAUUAUGUGCUUAUAUUCUGCACCUGAAGCUUCUCUAUGUAACUGAUUACCUGGUCUAUGUCUAAUUAUUUGCUAGCUAGCUACUUCUCUUGCUGUCAAUUUCCUUUGCUUUACGUUGUCAUUUUUUUUAAUAUUAAUUAUACAUGUCAAGGGAAUAUGUAGUAUACAAGUUUUACAUGCAGAUCAUCUUAAUGUUAUAUCAUGCAUUUAUGUGCUUUGGUUUUCGUUUCAGCAAAGAAGAAGAAAUAUUCAGUUCUCCAUGUGGAUUUAAACAAAUACAAUUGACUAGUCCCUCCUUUUAAAUUUGUUGCUUUGGUCUUCUACUAGGUUUGUAGAUGGGAUAGGUUCAAGGUUUUAAGAUGGGCUAGGUUUCAUCUAGCUUGUGCCAUCGACUUGGUCUCAACCGUCUUAGGGCAAACCACCGCUUUAGGGAGGCGGCGGCCCCUUUGAUGGCCUCACGACUCGACUCAACGAUCGGGAUCGAUCAUCGGUGGUGACGGCGAAGGUGGUACGGAGUCUAAACCGUGGGAGAGACCAUAAAACUGAGAAGGCAAAGUUGGGAAGCUCCUACAAAGGUAAAUGGUUUGGUACAUGCAUAUAGAUGCUUGAUCGUUUGUUGUGAUUUGUGAAAUACUGUGAAAUAGAGGAAUAAGGUGCCAUUGAGAUUUGUUUGUUGUGAAAGGUACAAUUAUUAUUCUAGAUUUGCACAGAUACCAUCCAUUAUUUACCAAUGUGUUCACUUAUGUACUGCUGUUACCUAUGGCAUUAAGCCAUUAUUAUUACUCCCUCUGUAAAGAAAUAUAAAAGCGUGAUGAUUUAGUCGAAAA